rnacentral:rRNA from 1 species
UACGUAGGCAGCAAGCGUUGUUCGGAGUUACUGGGCGUAAAGGGUGCGUAGGCGGCUUUUUAAGUCUGGUGUGAAAUCUCCCGGCUCAACUGGGAGGGUGCGCCGGAUACUGAGGGGCUAGAGUGUGGGAGAGGAAAGUGGAAUUCCUGGUGUAGCGGUGAAAUGCGUAGAUAUCAGGAGGAACACCGGUGGUGUAAACGGCUUUCUGGACCAUAACUGACGCUGAGGCACGAAAGCGUGGGUAGCAAACGGG